UUGUGCUGGGAUAUUUUUGGUGUCGUGCAAACCAAUAAUUUUGAUGAAGGAAUAUUUCAAACGUAUUUGCAAAUUGGACAAUCUCUCUGUUCUCGCUUUAAGGAUAUUAAGCUUGAUCUUGUCAGGGUCCUGUCUGAAUCACUUGAUAUGUUUCGUAUCAACUGGGGCUUGACAACAGGGCAAAGCAUGCAACGGAUAUGGGAUCAGUGGAGGCCGGCGACACCGACCGACCCUGCUCAUUUGAAGUCAAUGGUGGAUUUGCAACAAAUUGCUGCAAGAUUUGAUCUUAUUACUGUGAAAACGAAUUUGCCCUUUUCGCAACUUGGACAAUUGCGUCACUCACUAGUCCAAGCACAGAUUUCAAUGCUACAAGGCGCGGACGGAGUUGGUCUGAUCCAGGAUCUUCAGCAUGUAAUCGAUGACCUUGAAGCUCGAGUGCUGGAUUCCGGCCCAGUAUUAGCCCCCUAUUUUUCCUUAG
rnacentral:sRNA from 1 species